AUUGAACGCUGGCGGCAGGCCUAACACAUGCAAGUCGAGCGGAGCGGCGGACGCGUGAGUAAUGCCUAUGAAUCUGCCUGGUAGCGGUGGAUAACGUUCGGAAAUGGGCGCUAAUACUGCAUACUAUCAGAUGAGCCUAGGUCGGAGUAGCUAGUUGGUGGGGUAAAGGCCUACCAAGGCGACGAUCCGUAUCUGGUCUGAGAGGAUGAUCAGUCACACUGGAACUGAGACACGGUCCAGACUCCUACGGGAGGCAGCAGUGGGGAAUAUUGGACAAUGGGCGAAAGCCUGAUCCAGCCAUGCCGCGUGUGUGAAGAAGGUCUUCGGGUUGUAAAGCACUUUAAGUUGGGAGGCGUUACCAGCAGAAUAAGCACCGGCUAACUUCGUGCCAGCAGCCGCGGUAAUAC
rnacentral:rRNA from 1 species